CAAUAAUAGAGACAUGUAAAGCCUCUUAUUUUCUAAAAAGCAGUGAUCAGGUCUUUUGCAGCAUUAAGCGAAUGUCAUAAAAUAGACUUCUUGGUCUCCCGUGCUUAGUCCGGCGGGACCUCCCACGCGCUUACAGAGGGCCCCGUUCUCCCCCCCCGUGGGCCGGGGGGGUUAUCCCGGACCCCACCGGGGAGGCAGUGACCACCCACGACUCCUGAGCGGCGAACCGAGCAGCCAGAGAUCGCAUGGUGAAAACCAAAAUGGCCGCCGCGUCCAUCACAAGCUGGAGAAUGGCGGCAGCCAUGGAGCAACGAACCGAAAGACGCCUACCAGACGACUCUAAGGAGCGCACAACCAGCCUGCACACACAACUCAUGCCAGCAUUGUUGAAGGCAACAUCUCACAUGGUAACCGGCAGGGACUCACUUGGGACUAUAACCCUAAAUAAGAGAGGAGCGCCAGACAAGAGACACAAGCUCCCUUAUUAUACCUGAGUAUACUAUGUCAUACUGUCAUGCCUAGAACUAGUGCAAUUGCGCCUAGCCGGUAGACCCACAUGUACAUCAACAAAGUUAUUAAGCAUACCUGCCUGUUUAACCGGCUAACUCAGAGACUCGCUGCUCCCUGGUGGUCAAAAAGCUAAAUUUAAGCAAUGAAGAAAUCUAAAUCAUAUAUUACGUCUAGAUAUACUACGAAGCUACUUGUUAAUCAAAGUAUUAUAUAAAAAAUGUGCACGUUACUCAAUAACCU